AAUACAUGCAAGUCGAACGAAGCAGCCUUUAGAAGAAAAUGCUUGCAUUUUCUAACAAAGAAUUUCUGCCUAGUGGCGAACGGGUGAGUAACACGUAGGUAACCUGGCAAAUAGACGAGGACAACAGUUGGAAACGACUGCUAAAACUGGAUAAGAUUAGAGAUUGCAUGAUUACUAAUUGAAAGCAGCUCAUGGCUGUACUAUUUGAUGGACCUGCGGCGUAUUAGCUAGUUGGUGAGGUAGAGGCUUACCAAGGCGACGAUACGUAGCCGACCUGAGAGGGUGAACGGCAACAUUGGGACUGAGACACGGCCCAAACUUCUACGGAAGGCAGCAGUAGGGAAUUUUCCACAAUGGGGGCAACCCUGAUGGAGCAAUGCCGCGUGAGAGAAGAAGGCCUUCGGGUUGUAAAUCUCUGUUGUAAGUGAGGAACACUAGAUGUAGGAAAUGGCAUUUAGCUGACAUUAGCUUACCAGAGAGCCACGGCUAACUACGUGCCAGCCGCCGCCGUAA
rnacentral:rRNA from 1 species